GGGUGUGAGCGGUGUCCACGGCUUUUGGGACCGCCUUCUCCGGACGGAGUCUUUUCAAUGGACUGGAGAAAGGAAGGCUCAUCCUCCCAUUUACAAGGUCACUUUCACAUGGGUGAAAUAUUUUACAAGAUAAAUCAAGGACCAAGGAAGAUCUUCCUAGGCCCUAAACUGUGCCACCUUGGAGUGAUGUAGGAUCCCCCCAGUGAAGCAACAGAAGUGUGCCACCUGGGAGGCUGGGUGAAUGGCCAGGUCUGAGCAACUGAAGAUCUUGGACUUCUCUCAUCGUGGGACUCGUCACAGCGGAUUGUCACUGCUUCUCUCCCCCUGCACGAGACUGUAGCACGCAGGCAGAGAUCAGAUGUGACUUAUUCACAGUGA